rnacentral:rRNA from 1 species
UUCCUGUACCACUUAUUAAACUGAUGGAGUGACGGAGAAGGCUAAGUUGAGCGUGUUAAUGGAUUCACGUGUAAGCAGUGAGGUGGUCAUGUAGGCAAAUCCGCAUGGCAUAACAUUGAGCUGUGAUGCCGAAGCCGUAUGGCGAAGUCAACUGAUGUCACGCUUCCAAGAAAAGCUUCUAGGGUUAAUUUAGUAAGUGCCCGUACCGAUAACCGACACAGGUAGGCGAGGAGAGAAUCCUAAGAUGAGCGAGAGAACUCUUGUUAAGGAACUCGGCAAAAUGACCCCGUAACUUCGGGAGAAGGGGUGCUUGUGAAAGCAAGCCGCAGUGAAUAGGCCCAGGCGACUGUUUAUCAAAAACACAGGUCUCUGCUAAACCGCAAGGUGAUGUAUAGGGGCUGACGCCUGCCCGGUGCUGGAAGGUUAAGAGGAGAGGUUAGCGCAAGCGAAGCUUUGAAUUGAAGCCCCAGUAAACGGCGGCCGUAACAAUAACGGUCCUAAGGUAGCGAAAUUCCUUGUCGGGUAAGUUCCGACCCGCACGAAAGGCGUAACGAUCUGGGCGCUGUCUCAACAAGAGACUCGGUGAAAUCAUAGUACCUGUGAAGAUGCAGGUUACCCGCGACAGGACGGAAAGACCCCGUGGAGCUUUACUGUAGCUUGAUAUUGAGCACUGGUGACACAUGUACAGGAUAGGUAGGAGACGAAGAAGCCAGGACGCCAGUCUUGGUGGAGUCGCUGUUGGGAUACUACCCUUGUGUUACUAGGGUUCUAACCCGUGGCCAUGAUCUGGUCAGGGAACAGUGUCAGGUGGGCAGUUUGACUGGGGCGGUCGCCUCCCAAAGAGUAACGGAGGCGCCCAAAGGUUCCCUCAGAAUGGUUGGAAAUCAUUCGAAGAGUGUAAAGGCAGAAGGGAGCUUGACUGCGAGACCUACAAGUCGAGCAGGGACGAAAGUCGGGCUUAGUGAUCCGGCGGUACCGAAUGGAAGGGCCGUCGCUCAACGGAUAAAAGCUACCCCGGGGAUAACAGGCUGAUCUCCCCCAAGAGUUCACAUCGACGGGGAGGUUUGGCACCUCGAUGUCGGCUCAUCGCAUCCUGGGGCUGUAGUCGGUCCCAAGGGUUGGGCUGUUCGCCCAUUAAAGCGGUACGCGAGCUGGGUUCAGAACGUCGUGAGACAGUUCGGUCCCUAUCCGUCGUGGGCGUAGGAAAUUUGAGAGGAGCUGUCCUUAGUACGAGAGGACCGGGAUGGACACACCGCUGGUGUACCAGUUGUUCUGCCAGGAGCAUAGCUGGGUAGCUACGUGUGGACGGGAUAAACGCUGAAAGCAUCUAAGCGUGAAGCCCCCCUCAAGAUGAGAUUUCCCAUUCGAAAGAAGUAAGAUCCCUUGAAGACGACAAGGUAGAUAGGUCAGAAGCGGAAGUGUGGUGACACAUGGAGCGGACUGAUACUAAUCGAUCGAGGACUUAAUC